CCCUUUCUCACAAUUCUCUCUCAAGGUUCUUCGGAACCCUAUCCCACCUACUACGCUUUUCACCGUACUUUCAAUGGAAUUCAUGGCUUCUCAGGCCAUGGAUGGGUUGUACUCACCCCUCUCCACCAUUAGACCUUGGGUGUUCAAGGUUUUGAAGUUCGACUCCGAUGGUUCUUUUUCAGAUCUUCUUAGAUCUUUGGUUCUAUGGCUUCUCUGGCCAUGCUCCGAUAUAUUUAAGCAUGAGAAGCCUGAUCCCCGACCUCUUCGACCCAGGAUCUGACUUUUCCAAGCC
rnacentral:lncRNA from 1 species